CACGCCGUAAACGUUGAGAACUAAGUGUUGGGGAGACCCAGUGCUGAAGCUAACGCAUUAAGUUCUCCGCCUGAGGAGUACGCACGCAAGUGUAAAACUUAAAGGAAUUGACGGGGGCCCGCACAAGCAGUGGAGCGUGUGGUUUAAUUCGAGGCUACGCGAAGAACCUUACCAGGGCUUGACAGGAAACUUAAGACCCUAGAGAUAGGGGGAUAAUAAGUGAAACAGGUGG
rnacentral:rRNA from 1 species